CUGCAUUUUACAAGAGGAAAUGUGAAAACCUGCCUUUGCCCUUACCACUAACAAAGAUGCUGCCUCCUCUUCACCAACUUCCAGAGGUCUCUGCAGCAUAACAGAGACAGAAAUAGAGAAACCUUCCUGAUGCAGGUAGCCAUCACAAGAGUAUGUUUUCACCAGACUCUGUGACUCUGCUCUCCUAUCAACAUUUUGUCUCAGCCUGAAAGUGAAUGCUGACAACAAGGUAAGCCAAGAAGCUGAUCAGACUGAUAAUUUGCACCAGGCCUCCCUCCCCUAGAGAAUAUUUAGGCAGGGAGAUGAAUAUGCAGAAGAAUGUUUAAAUUAAAAAAAAAAAAGUCCGUAAACUCAAAAGCUGAGAACAUCAUGAUGGGAACAAUAUUCCAAGUUGAUAGCUCAGAUAAAGUGUGCAAACAGAUCCAGAAACCUAGGCAUCUGUAAGAAUUGUCAAGUCCUCUAACUGUCAGAGGUUAUACUGGGUACUUGCAAUCAGGUACACAGGGAAACAGGUUUCCAUGACAUCAGUACAUAGGUUUUCCAUGGAAGCUAGUGGCAGCAAAAUUAAAUGAAGCUCCCUUAAAUGUCCUGUUUUAUUUCAAACACUGAAAAAUGUCUGCUGAAACUUUAGCUCCUUGCAGAGAUUUCAUGUCAAACAGGACAGGGUUUUUGAAGGAGAACUGUCCUUGGAGAACUCUCCUAUGGAGAUCAACCAUACCGUGUGUAUGCUGAGCCUUACAUUCCUGGCCUCUUUCAAGGUUCACGAUUAGAUUAUUUGCUAAGAAUGGAUGGAAAAUGACAGCAUUCGAUUGCAGAGUGGACCAUUUAUCUGACAUGGGAAAGUAGCUAUGUAAUAUCAGAUGCAUCAGUACUAACAAAUACACUGAUCACUUUAAACUGGUAAAGAUGCUGGGCUGGGAAAUUAGGUUCUUAAUGCUUUCUAAAUCAAAAUUAGAAAGAUAAAUAAAUCCAGUGUCUCUCAGUGGGAACCAGUUUGCUAUGCUUCAGACCAGGUUUGCUACAGAAGCUACACAGGUGAAAGCUUGCAGACAGAUGCCAGAUUCAAACAUGCAGGGACUAAUGGAUGCAGGCAUCCAUAUUUGUUGGUGAGAAGCCUACCGUCAGCCAGUCCAAUCCGAAGAUUGUACAGAGCAGAGCUGAUAUUUAAAGAGAUCAGAGAAGACCAGCUACCAAAAUUCUGAUAAUGUUUUCUUGUGAGCUAGGAGGAUUUGAAGGUGGCUGCUCAAAGAAAAGAACAUGCAUUUUCAUGCACUUAGAUGCACAUAAACCAAGGUAUGUAUUACCAAGUAUGGGAGCACAUUCUUUGAGAUUCUGAAUUCAGACAUGUUCCUCAGGUAUGUGCUGAUUGUGUUUCAGGGCAUAAAACCACCUCCUCUUGCAGACUCACUGCAGAAUAAGUCGGGUGUAUGAGUAGGGCAGCUUUGGCGAGCUUCAACUAGCUCCCCUGUGACCAAAUGGAAUAUGAAGAUUUGAAUACAGUCAGAAAGGCUUCACUCUUUGUUUCUGACUGGAGAUGAACCAAGAAAACCUGAUCUGGGAAUUCCAGUUACAUGCAAUAAUGAUGGGACACAGUGAUAAAGUUCGGAUAGAUUCACUUUCAAAGCUCCAGCACAUCUUUUCUGGGAAACUCCUACAUCAGUCUGUUUCACUUGCGCAGCUUGUUACUUUACUGAAUCAUUGACAUGGACUUCCCAGGCUUCCGAAGAAGCCUGUGGCAGUUGUUGUUUUUCAAUGUAUUAUUUUUUUUACCAUUUUCAAGGGACAAAUGAAUGCUUAAAAUGUGCGGAGGGAGCAUUUGGAAACAAGGACUAUCAGUGGUGUAGCCUGCCUUAGUAGUCAGCUUAUCUUCAGAGCUGAGGCCAUGUAACAGCUAAAUGAUAGCAGGUGAGCCCAGUUGUGCCACAGAUACAUGCUAACACAGACAUGCUGAGGGUGCAAGAACACUCAUACUGCUGUAAAUAAUAUGAAAGUAAGGGGGAAUAACAAUUUUUGAAUUGCCACAGCUCAUUGUUUUCUCUAAGAAAAAAACAAUGAAGGAGGGUUCUAGAAGGGCUUUGUCUGAGGAUGUACUCUUCCAUAUAUGACAGCAAAAGGAAAAUUCUUGUGAGAACAAGUUCUUAGCAAGGCAUUAAUAGCAAUCCCCUCCACUCCUACAUGGUCAGUUGUUUUGAAUCUCCUUUACCCAGGAGCCAUCACACAGAUCUGAACAACACAGUGCGCAUACACCACAGUGACUUGUCCUGGCAAAGAUUAGGUGAACCCAGGCCGUGGCCGCACCCUGCUGGAAGCCCAUGUGUCCCACCCAGAUAACAGGCAUUUUCUCCAAGACAAGGCCUUGCUGAACUGCCAAGCAUACUGUGGGAAGCAGACUAUGACAAGGUUUUGGUUUUAGAAAUACUAUUAUUAGUAAGACACAUUUUGAAACUGCAUCGUCAUUUAGUUGUGUGUCUUUGUGUACCAGCUGGCAUUUUUUAAAAUCAGUUUAUCCCCUUUUCCCCUCUGAAAUACACACAACUCUGCAGGAGGGUGGCUGUGCACAGGUAUUCACCUGCCAUCCCAGUCUGUCCUCACCUAGCUGGAUUGUUCUCUUGUUCAGAAGCCUCCAGCACUUACCGAGCAGAAGAUACCACAGAUGGUACUGGAAAGAUACAAACUGAACCUCCUAUCAGCGGGGAAGAGACUGUGUUCAUCUAACUUCAGCUGCCUUCAAGUUGCAUGUCUGCCAUCAACCAUUUCAUGGGCUCCCCCUCCAGUCAAUGGAGUGACUCCAGAGCAUGAUUCACCACAUCCUAAGAAUAGAGCUGGAGAUCAGUAAAGCAGGAGGCCCAAAGCCAGCAACAGUUUAAAGCGCUGCUAUGGGUGCUCGAGAGGCUGGUGUGGUGUACCAUUCUGCCAUGCAAACCAGACACGUUUCCCUUCACAUAGGUCACAUAAUGUUCACUUUUAGUGUUGUUCUUCCACUCAGCGCCCUAAGGAGAAACCUGCUGAAGUACUCAGGUUUCUUGAUAGGUGAAGAAGAAUUAAUCCAGCAACCUUCACAAAACAUUUGUUUUACAACAAGCACAAAAUUUGUGGGAAAAUAAAGUAAACUGUGUAAGGAAAUAAACAUUCAU